UAAUUAUCGAUCUCUGCUACGGAUCAGAUACCAAUCGAAAUUCGUAAUCGAAUUUAACUGCGUCCCUACGUGUUCCUCAACUUAUUAAAUUACUGUGGUGUUUUAAUUAUGUUUAAUAGUGUACCCCGAAUUGGGGUCCCAAGUCCAGAGUGACUUCUUUUGGCUUCCUGCUUGCCGCCCGCCUGCCGUAUUGCUUCUGGCCGCUUUCCCCGACUCAGCGCCACGCAGAUUCUAGCAGCGCUGAACUCAGCGCCGAUCAGAAAAACGGCGCCUACCACCUCGGCAUCGUCAGGGGAGUACUGUGGCUACAAUCGACUAGCGGAAUCCGAUCUUGACUAGUAUUUUUUACGAACCACGACUUUUACCCAUCUUACCGGCUGAGCUUCAUGGGAAUAAAUAUUGUUUUACCGUU
rnacentral:lncRNA from 1 species